rnacentral:rRNA from 1 species
UGGGGGAUAUUGCACAAUGGGCGAAAGCCUGAUGCAGCGACGCCGCGUGGGGGAUGAAGGCCUUCGGGUUGUAAACUUCUUUUGCACUGAACAAGGCGCACCAUGGGGUGUGUUGAGUGUAGGGGUUGAUUAGCGCCGGCUAACUACGUGCCAGCAGCCGCGGUAAUACGUAGGGCGCGAGCGUUGUCCGGAAUUAUUGGGCGUAAAGGGCUUGUAGGUGGCUGGUUGCGUCUGUCGUGAAAGCUCAUGGCUUAACUGUGGGUUUGCGGUGGGUACGGGCUGGCUUGAGUGCAGUAGGGGAGGCUGGAAUUCCUGGUGUAGCGGUGGAAUGCGCAGAUAUCAGGAGGAAUACCGGUGGCGAAGGCGGGUCUCUGGGCUGUUACUGACACUGAGGAGCGAAAGCAUGGGGAGCGAACAGG